UUCUAGGCUGGACUCGGUGUUUCCUCGAAUCGAGUGACUGUGAUCAUUUCAGCAUACAUUAAACGAAAGCUAAACGGUGUCUUGUUGGAUGAAAAGUUGAAAGCAAUUUACGAAAUGAGAUACGAGAUAUCUCCUUUGGACGAUGAAAACGUUCAUUUUAAAAAAUAUUAUUAAAUACUGCAUAAUAUUUGUUAUCUUCUUCAGUUACGAUACAAUUCAUCGGCCACGUUUGGUAGCUUAAUGGCCAACAGAGGGAGGAAAUUUAUUGCAUUCGUAAGAAAUUACUACCAUUUCUUGCAAAGAUUUAACGCGCACUUCUUGCGCGAAUAGGUCAACGAUUGUCCUUCUAUAGUUUUCAAGGCGAACGGAUAUAAAUGUUACUUCUGCCUCUUGAAAUAGAAUCACGCUCGCAGGUACGUUUUAAUUAUAGUUUGCAAUUUUAUCCAGCUGCGAUAUACUGCCAAUUCUUCGACCGAGUAAUCGACGAAAUCUCCGAUCCGUGCGGCCACUGUCGAAGAUUUCGCAAAAUUUCCACUCCGCGGAAACACACGACUACGACUGAAUAAUUGAACGAUAUAUAUACAUAAUGAUCGCAAACACGUAACUUUGCACAUGUGCAUAUAUAAACGACAACUUUAUUCCACCAUACGUUUCGGUGUAUACUGAAGUUGAUAAGUAUUUAACAUUUCCACUUUAUUUAUUGUUGCGUCUACGUUUAAUAUGUGAUAUGUUAUAUCAUCGCUUGUUGCCAGCUUAAUAUUAAUAAUAUCGUUAUUAUCACUACGUUAUUAUCCAGGAUAUAUAUCGUCAUGCUCUUAGGUAUGAUCGAUGAUCGAAUUUCCUGCGCAGGACACAGCGUCGGCACAGCGUGACCAGUGACAUAAACGAAUGUAGCGCAUUGCGUUAUCGUUUCUGUCGCGCAUUGUAUAUCUUUCCUGCUAUUCAGAACACGUAAUUCAAUUUGAAACCGUGGUAAUCGCGUUUGCGGGUUGAUUAACAGAUCCCUAGCCAUUAAUCGCGCGAGCGGUAAUUACAUUAGAUACCGAUACCCUCGAAGGCCUUCUCUGUGUUCAGGCACUAUAGUAAUCGUCGUGAAUUCGUCGAGCCUUCAAUUUUAAUGGCGUUCCGUUAGAAGCGUUUAUGGCGUUGGGGAACCAUCUUCGACGAUAUUUGACGAACGGAUCGAAAUCAGGUUGAUUCACGGUUGAUUCGACGGAGAGACGGGGGCACAUACACAGUGCAUUACAUACAACGUGUAUCACGUAUAUAAGAUACGGUAUAUUAACACACGAUGUGUGUCGAGUUGUUCUCCACGUUUCGAUUUCUAUUUAACCGACGCCGUGCAUCUCGUCGGUUUUUGUUAUACUUUUCCUAAUUGCGACUAUCUUCGUCCAGCGAAGAGAAGAAAAGAAAAGAAAGAAGAGAGAAAGCAUUGGAACAGGGGCGGAAAAAAAAGGUGAUUGUCUCGUAGUCUUAUAAAUCAUUGGAUACCGUAAUGGCGAAUUUGCGAAGAGACAAUUGAAUUCUCGAAAGUGUAAGUAGAAAAGAGUGAGAGUAAGCUCGUAUGAUGUAUGCAGAGCGCAAGUGUAUGAUGUGCCACGUAUUUAAAUACAGCCGAUGAUCAAGCAAGCAAUGAAUAUAAAUGCAAAUAUAAAUAUUAUAUAUAUAUAUAUAUUAUUAUAAAUGUUACAAGAGAUUAAGCAAAUUAUGAAUUAUUAUCAGUUAACACGUCGUGCCGGUGCGCUCAUUCGACGAUUCGAGCGAUAAUGUAAAAAAACUGUUUACGAGUGAAUGGCGAAUAAAAUAUACGAUAACGAACAA